rnacentral:rRNA from 1 species
GAUGAACGCUAGCGGCAGGCCUAAUACAUGCAAGUCGAACGGUGUCUUCGGACAUAGUGGCGCACGGGUGCGUAACACGUAUGCAACCUACCUUACAUUGGGGGAUAGCCUUUCGAAAGGGAGAAUAAUACCGCAUAAGACAGAAGCUGGGCAUCCAGCAGCUGUUAAAGAUUUAGCCAUGUAACCUGGGCAUGCGGCCAAUUAGCUAGUUGGUGAGGUAACGGCUCACCAAGGCAAUGAUUGGUAGGGGAACUGGGAGGUCAAUCCCCCACACUGGCACUGAGAUACGGGCCAGACGCCUACGGGAGGCAGCAGUAGGGAAUAUUGGGCAAUGGGCGCAAGUCUGACCCAGCCAUGCCGCGUGCAGGAUGAAGGCGUUAUGCGUUGUAAACUGCUUUUAUACAGGAAGAAACGACUCUUGCGAGAGGCAUUGACGGUACUGUAUGAAUAAGCACCGGCUAACUCCGUGCCAGCCGCCGCGGUAACAC